rnacentral:rRNA from 1 species
CCUACGGGUGGCAGCAGUGAGGAAUAUUGGUCAAUGGGCGUAAGCCUGAACCAGCCAAGUCGCGUGAGGGAUGAAGGUUCUAUGGAUCGUAAACCUCUUUUAUAAGGGAAUAAAGUGUGGGACGUGUCCUGUUUUGUAUGUACCUUAUGAAUAAGGAUCGGCUAACUCCGUGCCAGCAGCGGCGGUAAUACGGAGGAUCCGAGCGGUAUCCGGAUUUAUUGGGUUUAAAGGGUGCGUAGGCGGCCUGUUAAGUCAGCGGUGAAAGUCCGUGGCUCAACCAUAGAAUUGCCGUUGAAACUGGGAGGCUUGAGUACGCUGGAGGCAGGCGGAAUGCGGGGUGUAGCGGUGAAAUGCUUAGAUAUCACGCAGAACCCCGAUUGCGAAGGCAGCCUGCCAAGCCAUGACUGACGCUGAUGCACGAAAGCGUGGGGAUCAAACAGGAUUAGAUACCCUAGUAGUC